rnacentral:lncRNA from 1 species
UUGAAAGGUUCAACAGUAAUGCAGUAAAUGGAACCAGAACUAAAAAUUUAUAUCAGGAGCUUACUGAAAAUGGGCAAAGGUGUACAUCAGAUAAUGAAUUUUGUGAAACAGAGCGGAAAACCAGGAAAUCAAAAAUCAGAGAAGAGGCAGAACUACCAGAAAAGGGAGUGUGUCCUGAAGAAGUUUUAAAAUUUUUACCAGAAGCAGAAAAUGGAACCA